rnacentral:tRNA from 1 species
GGUGUGGACGCGCGGUAGCUCAGUUGGAAGAGCAUUGGCCCGGAAAGCCAAAGGUCCCGGGUUCAAGCCCCGGCUGCAUUU